rnacentral:rRNA from 1 species
AUUGAACGCUGGCGGCAGGCCUAACACAUGCAAGUCGAACGAGUGGCGGACGGGUGAGUAAUGCCUGGGAAACUGCCCGAUGGAGGGGGAUAACUCCUGGAAACGGUAGCUAAUACCGCAUACCAUCGGAUGUGCCCAGAUGGGAUUAGCUAGUAGGUGGGGUAACGGCUCACCUUGGCGACGAUCCCUAGCUGGUCUGAGAGGAUGACCAGCCACACUGGAACUGAGAGACGGUCCAGACGCCUACGGGAGGCAGAGGUGGGGAAUAUGGCACAAUGGGAGAAAGCCUGAUGGAGCCAUGCCGCGUGGAUGAAGAAGGCCUUCGGGUUGUAAAGUACUUUCAGCGAGGAGGCGUUACUCGCAGAAGAAGCACCGGCUAACUACGUGCCAGCAGCCGCGGUAAUUC